rnacentral:lncRNA from 13 species
ACUCAGAAACUGACUCAGCACAAGAGGACUGCUUCAAUUCACUAUGAUGUCAUUUCCUACCUGACCAAUCAGCACCCUUGGAUCAUUGGCUUCCCCUCACCCACCAAGUUCUUCUUAAAAACUGAAUGCUCUGGGAGACCAAUCUGAGUAGUAAUGAAACUCUGAUCUCCCACACAGCCUGCUCUGUUUGAAUUAUUCUUUCUUUAUUGCGAGGCCUUUGUCUUGAUAAAUCAUCUCUGCCUAAGCAGCGGGCAAGAGAAAACAGUAACUUCCAGAUUCAGUUGAAAUGCAGAUUAACUAAGCCAAUCACAUAGAAGCUCAGCUUCAGCCACUAUGGAAGCAAUCCAACUCUUCUGAGAUCACCAAGCUAUGAGGAAGCCCAAAUUAUCUCACAUGGAGAGACCACAUGAGAAUCUCUACAUGAAGAGACUUCAGAUUACAUGAAGAGGAAGAGAUGCUUGGCUGGUUGCUCCAGUUUCCUUCAUGUCAAAAUCCAGCCAUCUUCUGAGUAUAACUACAUAUGAGACACUGAGCCAGAUGCUGAGUUGUGCCUGCGUUUGUGACCUGCAGAAGCAAGAUGGAGUCUUGGAGUCUUGCUGUUACCCAUGCUGGUCUUGA